rnacentral:tRNA from 1 species
GACAAGAUGGCUGAAUGGUGAAGGCAACGGUUUGCAAAACCGCUUUUUAUGAGUUCGAAUCUCAUUCUUGUCUC